AGUAUGAUGAAUAUAUACUAGAUAAGUAUACAUAUUUUGAUACAGUCAGACUGAUGAUAUCAGUAUGUUUCUAUUUACAUCACACACUUGUAGUUAUGAUAAUAAUAUGAUGUGUAAUCAGUAAAAAAAGAAAUUAAGAUAAUAGACAAGUGCAAAUUGGAUUUAAUGAACAACUAGAUUUAAGUUGGCAAUGGUUACUUGACAGCUAGAAUAGGAAAGGUCGUACAACCGUAAGUGCAGCUUCCGGCAUUGAAAUCAUUAGGAAUUUAUGCUCAAGAUGUAUCUAUAUAGUAUAAACGUAAACAAUUGUUAAAUCUUUUGUUUGAGUUACUUAUAGAUUGUUUUUUACGCGAACAAUAACUAAGAUUGGAUGAAACGUUUCUUGAUCCACUGCUUGUAUGAUGUGCUUGUAUAUUGGAAAUUAUUGGGAAUAGGAUAUUCAGAUGGUAACUCUGCCAUGUUACAAAACAGAGACCAACAAAGAACUUUUCUUACUCUAGCAUCUCACGAUGUCGACGACAUUCAUCCGACCAGCGUAUAACGUAUAGUGACCAUACGGCAUACGUUGCCGUUUCUUCCGUUUGUUCUUUUCAAUAUGUUACAUCUCGUUGUCUCUUUUUGGCUUUUUAUGUAUCUAAGAACGUGCCUCGACCAAUAAUACAAUGCACGUGCGUUCAUUCAUAGAACGCUAACGUAGUUUCAGAGUACCGUGUACGGUUUAGUCGUAAUCAAGACGCGGACACCAUGAGUGGCAGCCUAUAAAUGAAUGACACGUAUACAUAGCAUACGGUCAUACUCAUGACCGUAUCAUAUUGUCAAUUGUUUGACUGACAUCCCAUUUACUCUUAUAUGUAUAUAUACGAGUAGAAAUGGCUUUAAUAUCUGUAAAAUAAUUGAUUUUAUUUCACAUUAAAAUUUUAUUAAUGCAUGCUUACAUUAAUUUUUUUUAUAUUUUAUGUUUUAGGAAAAUUUUUAUUCUAAAAUUUUAUUAAACUAGAAUAUAGAAAAUUAAGAAUUGACAAAGAUUCAGAACAUAUCGUUAUUGAAAUGAAAAAAAAUAUUUGCGGAUUAUGAAAUACAAUCUAUAUCACAAGGUUAUUCUGAGGAUACACACAAGAAAUAUAUAGCAUUUAAAAUCCAUAUAUACAUAUGUAUAUAUUUAAUUAUGAAUAACACAUAAUCGAAUAAAAUAUUACAAAGAUAAGGAAUUUAUAUUUUCAUUUUUAACAAU